AGAGUUCGAUCCUGGCUCAGGACGAACGCUGGCGGCGUGCUUAACACAUGCAAGUCGAACGAGAAGCUUAUGAAUGAUUCUUCGGAAGAUUUCAUAAGUGGAAAGUGGCGAACGGGUGAGUAACGCGUAGGUAACCAACCUCAUACAGGGGGAUAGCCCAGGGAAACUUGGAUUAAACCCGCAUAAGACCACGCUAUCGCAUGAUAAAGUGGUAAAAACUCCGGUGGUAUGAGACGGACCUGCGUCUUAUUAGGUAGUUGGUGAGGUAACGGCUCACCAAGCCGACGAUGAGUAGCCGACCUGAGAGGGUGAUCGGCCACAUUGGGACUGAGACACGGCCCAG
rnacentral:rRNA from 1 species